rnacentral:rRNA from 1 species
UACGUAGGGGGCAAGCGUUGUCCGGAAUUAUUGGGCGUAAAGAGCGUGUAGGCGGUCCGGUAAGUCAGCUGUGAAAGUCAAAGGCUCAACCUUUGAAAGCCGAUGGAUACUGCAGGGCUAGAGUCCGGAAGAGGCGGGUGGAAUUCCUGGUGUAGCGGUGGAAUGCGCAGAUAUCAGGAGGAACACCAAUAGCGAAGGCAGCUCGCUGGGACGGUACUGACGCUGAGGCGCGAAAGCGUGGGGAGCGAACAGG